rnacentral:rRNA from 1 species
UACGUAGGGGGCAAGCGUUGUCCGGAAUCAUUGGGCGUAAAGAGCGUGUAGGCGGCCCGAUAAGUCCGCCGUGAAAGUCCAGGGCUCAACCCUGGAAUGCCGGUGGAAACUGUCGGGCUGGAGUCCGGAAGAGGCGAGUGGAAUUCCUGGUGUAGCGGUGAAAUGCGCAGAUAUCAGGAGGAACACCAAUGGCGAAGGCAGCUCGCUGGGACGGUACUGACGCUGAGGUGCGAAAGCGUGGGGAGCAAACAGG